UACGGAGGAUGCGAGCGUUAUCCGGAUUUACUGGGUGUAAAGGGAGCGUAGACGGCGAUGCAAGUCUGAAGUGAAAGGCGGGGGCCCAACCCCCGGACUGCUUUGGAAACUGUAUGGCUGGAGUGCAGGAGAGGUAAGUGGAAUUCCUGGUGUAGCGGUGAAAUGCGUAGAUAUCAGGAGGAACACUGGUGGCGAAGGCGGCCUGCUGGACUGUAACUGACGUUGAGGCUCGAAAGCGUGGGGAGCAAACAGG
rnacentral:rRNA from 1 species